UCCUCCAAGGCUAAAUACUCCUGACUGACCGAUAGUGAACCAGUACCGUGAGGGAAAGGCGAAAAGAACCCCGGCGAGGGGAGUGAAAAAGAACCUGAAACCGUGUACGUACAAGCAGUGGGAGCACAGGUUUACCUGUGUGACUGCGUACCUUUUGUAUAAUGGGUCAGCGACUUAUAUUCUGUAGCAAGGUUAACCGUAUAGGGGAGCCGGAGGGAAACCGAGUCUUAAUUGGGCGUUAAGUUGCAGGGUAUAGACCCGAAACC
rnacentral:rRNA from 2 species